GACGAACGCUGGCGGCGUGCUUAACACAUGCAAGUCGAACGGAAAGGCCCUGCUUUUGUGGGGUGCUCGAGUGGCGAACGGGUGAGUAACACGUGAGUAACCUGCCCUUGACUUUGGGAUAACUUCAGGAAACUGGGGCUAAUACCGGAUAGGAGCUCCUGCUGCAUGGUGGGGGUUGGAAAGUUUCGGCGGUUGGGGAUGGACUCGCGGCUUAUCAGCUUGUUGGUGGGGUAGUGGCUUACCAAGGCUUUGACGGGUAGCCGGCCUGAGAGGGUGACCGGCCACAUUGGGACUGAGAUACGGCCCAGACUCCUACGGGAGGCAGCAGUGGGGAAUAUUGCACAAUGGGCGGAAGCCUGAUGCAGCAACGCCGCGUGCGGGAUGACGGCCUUGGGGUUGUAAACCGCUUUCGCCUGUGACGAAGCGUGAGUGACGGUAAUGGGGAAAGAAGCACCGGCUAACUACGU
rnacentral:rRNA from 1 species